CCUACGGGCGGCAGCAGUGGGGGAUAUUGCACAAUGGGGGAAACCCUGAUGCCGCGACGCCGCGUGGGUGAAGAAGCGCCUCGGCGCGUAAAGCCCUGUCAGCAGGGAAGAAAAUGACGGUACCUGAAGAAGAAGGCCCGGCUAACUACGUGCCAGCAGCCGCGGUAAAACGUGGGGGUCAAGCGUUAUCCGGAUUUACUGGGUGUAAAGGGGGCGCAGGGGGCGAGGCAAGGCAGGAGUUAAAGCCCGGGGCCCAACCCCGGGACUGCCCUUGGAACUGCGUGGCUAGAGUGCAGGAGGGGCAGGCGGAAUGCCUGGUGUAGCGGUGAAAUGCGUAGAUAUCAGGAGGAACACCGGUGGCGAAGGCGGCCUGCUGGACUGCAACUGACGUUGAGGCCCGAAAGCGUGGGGAGCAAACAGGAUUAGAUACCCUUGUAGUC
rnacentral:rRNA from 1 species